GAUGAAUAACGCAGCGAAAUGCGAUAAGUAAUGUGAAUUGCAGAAUUCAGUGAAUCAUCGAAUCUUUGAACGCACAUUGCGCCCCUUGGUAUUCCGAGGGGCAUGCCUGUUCGAGCGUCAUUAUAACCCCUCAAGCUCAGCUUGGUGUUGGGGCCUGCCGCACGGGCAGCCCUUAAAAUCAGUGGCGGUGCCAUCUGGCUCUAAGCGUAGUAAUUCUUCUCGCUAUAGAGUCCCGGUGGAUGCUUGCCAUUAACCCCCAAUUUUCUAUGGUUGACCUCGGAUCAGGUAGGGAUACCCGCUGAACUUAAGCAUAUCAAUAAGCGGAGGA
rnacentral:misc_RNA from 1 species